rnacentral:tRNA from 1 species
GCCUGCAUAGCUCAGUUGGUAGAGCAGCUGACUCUUAACCAGCGAACCUUGGUGGACGCCUGUGGACGGCGUUCCGACUGACUCAAAUCAGUUGCCUCAGGCA